GAUGAGGAGGCAGGAAGCUGGCUGUCGGCGACAGGUUCACAGUGGUGGCGGACUAUGAGAAGGAGAAAGGAGGGCCUCAGGACCUGUCAGUAAAGAGUGGAGACAUGGUGCAGCUCAUUAAAGAGGGAGGUGACGGACAGUGGUUUGUUAGAAACUUGGGGAGCAACAAAGAUGGCUGGGUAGCAGCAGCCAACCUUCUCACCCUCAUCACAGAGUUCAAGUCCUCGCAGUCCCUCUGCAGCUCAGAGGGCAGUGUAACUGGCAACCUCAGCACCUCCUCCAGCUGCAGUGAAACCUACACAAGUUUCUCUGACAUCAAGCCCUAAAGUCCCGCCCCCUCUAAGCCCUG